AGGACAGACAAGCCCUAAGCUUGCCCGUUUGGGCAGAGGGAUCCUCCUCCCAUCAUCGCUGCUUGUCAAAUAACUGCUGAAGUUAAAGCUUCUGCUGGCUGAACCUAGCAUCUCAGAGCCCAGCCCAGGACGAGCCGUGGAGAACUGCCAGCAGGACUGGAAGUGUGGAGUGCAGCAAGACUUUGGAGCUCUUCUCAGUUCUCUCCACAUGCCCUGGCUUCUGUUGAACUUAGUGCUCUUCUUUUCCUGAUCCCAUCCCCAGCCAGCCUUUCUCUUUAAAAAUACCUCUUUAGAUGAUGUUGAAGAUCCCUUCUAGCCUAAGCCAUUCUGUGGCAUUGUUCUUUUCCUGACUUGCUUCUUGUAGCUGAUUUUGUACUGCAUUGAACUAUCUUCUGGGAGUUCCUUUACCACAGAGGGGCUGACAAAUGCAGAUUUACCUUCAUGUUUUUCCCUCCAUGGCAAUUCUUAUAUAGUUAGGAAUGAGGAGAAAGAGAACAA